GAUGGAGCUGGAUCACGAGAUGCAUCAGAUUAGCCUAAGGAAAGGAGAGGAUUAUGUUUCGGGACCCUUGGCUGGCGGGGCGCAGGCCUUUGUUCUUGGCUGGCGGUUGUCACUUCACUCCACUAAUUGGAUGGCAUAAGAUGAUCUAAACACCCCAAGACCCCAGGUUCAUCCCGCCUCUUUCAAAUCAACUCUGACUGCCACCAAAAGAAGCUGAGCGGCGUCCGGGAACAAGAUACGUGUACGUGCCUCUCCCAACCUCAGUUGCUGCCUGCCUCUCCCUGCGCAAGGGCACCAUGAUCUCAGAGAGCGGCCAACACAGAGGGGCUUUCAUUGGGCCCACUGGCACUGCCCUUCUCCAGCCAUCCCAGAGAGAGGGAGAGAGAGAUAGAGAGGAGAGAGAGAAAAGAG